GCUGAUGUAGCUCAGUUGGUAGAGCACUUCCUUGGUAAGGAAGAGGUCAUCGGUUCAAGUCCGAUCAUCAGCU
rnacentral:tRNA from 1 species